CAGUCGCCACGGUAAUACGUAGGGUGCAAGCGUUAAUCGGAAUUACUGGGCGUAAAGCGUGCGCAGGCGGUUAUAUAAGACAGAUGUGAAAUCCCCGGGCUCAACCUGGGAACUGCAUUUGUGACUGUAUAGCUAGAGUACGGCAGAGGGGGAUGGAAUUCCGCGUGUAGCAGUGAAAUGCGUAGAUAUGCGGAGGAACACCGAUGGCGAAGGCAAUCCCCUGGGCCUGUACUGACGCUCAUGCACGAAAGCGUGGGGAGCAAACAGGAUUAGAUACCCGCGUAGUCCUGUCUCUUAUACA
rnacentral:rRNA from 1 species